GCGCUGUGUGUGUAUGUGUGUUUGUGUACGCGCGCUCUAACAGGGUGCUGUGAGUGUGUGUAUGUAUGUGUGACUCUGAAGGGGAGCAGAAAGAUGAUGGAGAGCAGCUUCGACGCAGGAUUGUGAGAAGCAGGCUGGGCAGGGGCACCGUGUCAAAGCAGCCAGACAACAUGAGAGCUGGACUGGACACGAGAAAAACCAAAUCAGAACGUGAUUUGAGGAAAGUCCCAGAGAAGCAGAGUACAAGGCCUAUGGGGCAGUUAAACAGGAGAAGACCGGUCCCAAUGUACACCAAGUCAGACAUGGGACUGGUGAGACCGACGGCGUCAGACUGAGCAGAGUCCAGCCAUGAGAGACCCGUAGAACAGGGCCUGGAGAGAUACAUGACAUCUGUCCCGUCUGUGACCAUCUUUGCCCUGGCUGGGUCAGACAGUACUGGGCUCCUGAUGACAACAAUCUUCAUAACCCAUCCAGGAAGCUGCACUUCACCAUCCUGCCAGAUACACCAACAGGGAACAGAUAGCAACCUCUCUCCUUCUUUCUGAAAAAUGGAAAUUAAAUCUCUCCAAAGGGUUACAGGACAUUAGUAGGAAAGGAGAGACAUUCAUCAGAAUGUGCUUUCUGAUAUGCAAAUAUCAUUAUGCAUAUUAGGAAAUGAAAACAUAUGAGGCCAGGUUAAGCAGGUUACUUCCGUUACGUAAUUAUUCUCUACAUGCCAUUUGCUUUGUUUUAAUCUUUGAUCCUGUCUCUGUCCAAAGCUUUCGACUAGAAAUUACAGUGUGUGUGGACAAGUACU